rnacentral:rRNA from 1 species
CUUGGUCAUUUAGAGGAAGUAAAAGUCGUAACAAGGUUUCCGUAGGUGAACCUGCGGAAGGAUCAUUAAAGAGUAAGGGUGCUCAGCGCCCGACCUCCAACCCUUUGUUGUUAAAACUACCUUGUUGCUUUGGCGGGACCGCUCGGUCUCGAGCCGCUGGGGAUUCGUCCCAGGCGAGUGCCCGCCAGAGUUAAACCAAACUCUUGUUAUUAAACCGGUCGUCUGAGUUAAAAUUUUGAAUAAAUCAAAACUUUCAACAACGGAUCUCUUGGUUCUCGCAUCGAUGAAGAACGCAGCGAAAUGCGAUAAGUAAUGUGAAUUGCAGAAUUCAGUGAAUCAUCGAAUCUUUGAACGCACAUUGCGCCCCUUGGUAUUCCGAGGGGCAUGCCUGUUCGAGCGUCAUUACACCACUCAAGCUAUGCUUGGUAUUGGGCGUCGUCCUUAGUUGGGCGCGCCUUAAAGACCUCGGCGAGGCCUCACCGGCUUUAGGCGUAGUAGAAUUUAUUCAAUAACGUCUGUCAAUGGAGAGGACUUCUGCCGACUGAAACCUUUAUUUUUUACAGGUUGACCUCGGAUCAGGUAGGGAUACCCGCUGAACUUAAGCAUAUCAAUAAGCGGAGGA